rnacentral:lncRNA from 1 species
AACCUCUCCACAUCAUGGUUUUAAGGUGCUUGCCAAACGAAUAACAGAGCUUUGUGGCAAUCUCCCGUUAGCUCUACGUGUGGUGGGUUUAUCUUUGUCUGGGAAGAAUGAAGACGAAUGGGAAGAUGUAAUAUGCAGGUUAGAAACUAUUCUUGAUCGCGAUAUCGAGGACGUAUUACGAGUUGGCUAUGAAGGUUUAGAUGAGAACGAGCAAACGCUAUUUCUCCAUAUUGCAGUCUUCUUCAACAAUGAAGAUGGUAAUUUUGUGAAAGCCAUGUUUGAUGACGGUAACUUGGAUGUCAAACGCGGUUUGAAGAUCCUAGUAGAUCGAUCUCUCAUAAACAUAUGCAGUGUCACUGAAAACAUAGUCAUGCACAAAUUACUACAGCAAAUGGCUAAACAAACCAUUCAUAAACAAGAGCCUUGGAAACGUCAGAUCUUAAUGGAUCCUCAUGAGAUUUGUGAUGUCCUCGAGAAUGAAACAGUAAAUUAUAUCUCUUUCUUUUCUCUUUGUUUGACUUUUAUUAACUAGUACUUACUUUAAACAUGGUCAUUUGGUGGAGACGAAACAAAUCCUACAUAUUGUGCUAACUUAUUCUUUGGAAUAUUGGUUUAGGGUACCAGAGCUGUGACUGGAAUAUCAUUUGAUAGAUCUAAUAUCGAUGAAGUAUCUAUCAGCCAGAGCGCUCUUAAAAGAAUGCCAAAUCUUCAGUUCCUCAGAGUCUACCAAACAAGAGGUGAUAAAAUGCACAUACCUGAGAAGAUGGAAUUCCCACGUCGUCUAAGGUUAUUACAUUGGGAGUCAUACCCAAGAAAGAGUCUUCCUCCUAGAUUUCAUCCUGAAUAUCUUGUUGAACUCAAUAUGCGGGAAAGCCGGUUCGAAUACCUCUGGAAAGGAACCCUGGUUAGUGUUAGAACUUUAAAGAUAUGAAUAUAUACACAUUUUAUCUUCUUGUUGAAAUGAUAUUUAAUCAUCUCUCUAUGUUGUUGUGUUGUUUUACUACAUAAAGCCGCUUAGAAAUCUCAAGAAGAUGGAUUUAUUAGGGUCCGAGAAUUUGAAGGAACUCCCGGAUCUUUCAAAGGCUACAAAACUGGAGACAUUACAGCUGAGCAAAUGCAGAAACCUACAAAUCAUUCCAUCUCACAUGAACCUAGUAUCCCUUGUAAGCGUCUCUAUGAUCGGAUGCAUCAGACUGAGAGAUAUUCCAGUUAUGUCAACAAACAUCGAAGCACUGUAUAUCACAGAGACAGCGAUCGAAGAUGAACCUCCAUCAGUUAGGCUUUGCUCUCGUCUUCAGACUCUCAAUCUAAGCCGCAGUGUAAAGCUCACGAGCUUAACACAUCUCCCCAUGACUAUCACAUACCUAGACGUAAGAUACACUGGUAUUAAAAAGAUUCCAGAUUGCAUCAAAGCCCUUCAUGAGCUACAAUUCUUACUGAUAUCAAGCUGCAGAAGACUCACUUCAUUGCCAGAGCUCCCUGGUUCACUUCAAUUUCUACACGCAGAUGAUUGUGAUUCACUAGUGACCAUAUUUUCCCCUUUGAACAUUACUCCAUCUGC